rnacentral:rRNA from 1 species
GACGAACGCUGGCGGCGUGCUUAACACAUGCAAGUCGAACGGAAAGGCCCUGCUUGCUGGGUGCUCGAGUGGCGAACGGGUGAGUAACACGUGGGUGAUCUGCCCCUUACUUUGGGAUAAGCCUGGGAAACUGGGUCUAAUACUGGAUAGGACCAUGCUGUAGGUGGUGUGGUGGUAAGAUUAGUUUCGGUAAGGGAUGAGCUCGCGGCCUAUCAGCUUGUUGGUGGGGUAAUGGCCUACCAAGGCGUCGACGGGUAGCCGGCCUGAGAGGGUGGACGGCCACAUUGGGACUGAGAUACGGACCAGACUCCUACGGGAGGCAGCAGUGGGGAAUAUUGCACAAUGGGCGCAAGCCUGAUGCAGCGACGCCGCGUGGGGGAUGACGGCCUUCGGGUUGUAAACUCCUUUCAGCCAUGACGAAGCCCUUGUGGUGACGGUAGUGGUAGAAGAAGCACCGGCUAACUACGUG